rnacentral:snRNA from 1 species
AUACUUACCUGGCACAGGAGAUACCGUGAUCACGAAGGCGGUUCUCCCAGGGCGAGGCUCACCAUUGCACUCCGGUGGCGCUGACCCCUGCGAUUAACCCAAAUGUGGUUAACUCGAGUGCGAAAUUUUUGGUAGCGGGGGACUGCGUUCGCGCUAUCCCCCU